rnacentral:rRNA from 2 species
UUAAAUUGAAGAGUUUGAUCAUGGCUCAGAUUGAACGCUGGCGGCAGGCCUAACACAUGCAAGUCGAACGGUAACAGGAAGCAGCUUGCUGCUUCGCUGACGAGUGGCGGACGGGUGAGUAAUGUCUGGGAAACUGCCUGAUGGAGGGGGAUAACUACUGGAAACGGUAGCUAAUACCGCAUAACGUCGCAAGACCAAAGAGGGGGACCUUCGGGCCUCUUGCCAUCGGAUGUGCCCAGAUGGGAUUAGCUAGUAGGUGGGGUAACGGCUCACCUAGGCGACGAUCCCUAGCUGGUCUGAGAGGAUGACCAGCCACACUGGAACUGAGACACGGUCCAGACUCCUACGGGAGGCAGCAGUGGGAAUAUUGCACAAUGGGCGCAAGCCUGAUGCAGCCAUGCCGCGUGUAUGAAGAAGGCCUUCGGGUUGUAAAGUACUUUCAGCGGGGAGGAAGGCGAUAAGGUUAAUAACCUUGUCGAUUGACGUUACCCGCAGAAGAAGCACCGGCUAACUCCGUGCCAGCAGCCGCGGUAAUACGGAGGGUGCAAGCGUUAAUCGGAAUUACUGGGCGUAAAGCGCACGCAGGCGGUCUGUCAAGUCGGAUGUGAAAUCCCCGGGCUCAACCUGGGAACUGCAUUCGAAACUGGCAGGCUAGAGUCUUGUAGAGGGGGGUAGAAUUCCAGGUGUAGCGGUGAAAUGCGUAGAGAUCUGGAGGAAUACCGGUGGCGAAGGCGGCCCCCUGGACAAAGACUGACGCUCAGGUGCGAAAGCGUGGGAGCAAACAGGAUUAGAUACCCUGGUAGUCCACGCCGUAAACGAUGUCGACUUGGAGGUUGUGCCCUUGAGGCGUGGCUUCCGGAGCUAACGCGUUAAGUCGACCGCCUGGGGAGUACGGCCGCAAGGUUAAAACUCAAAUGAAUUGACGGGGGCCCGCACAAGCGGUGGAGCAUGUGGUUUAAUUCGAUGCAACGCGAAGAACCUUACCUACUCUUGACAUCCAGAGAACUUAGCAGAGAUGCUUUGGUGCCUUCGGGAACUCUGAGACAGGUGCUGCAUGGCUGUCGUCAGCUCGUGUUGUGAAAUGUUGGGUUAAGUCCCGCAACGAGCGCAACCCUUAUCCUUUGUUGCCAGCGGUCCGGCCGGGAACUCAAAGGAGACUGCCAGUGAUAAACUGGAGGAAGGUGGGGAUGACGUCAAGUCAUCAUGGCCCUUACGAGUAGGGCUACACACGUGCUACAAUGGCGCAUACAAAGAGAAGCGACCUCGCGAGAGCAAGCGGACCUCAUAAAGUGCGUCGUAGUCCGGAUUGGAGUCUGCAACUCGACUCCAUGAAGUCGGAAUCGCUAGUAAUCGUGGAUCAGAAUGCCACGGUGAAUACGUUCCCGGGCCUUGUACACACCGCCCGUCACACCAUGGGAGUGGGUUGCAAAAGAAGUAGGUAGCUUAACCUUCGGGAGGGCGCUUACCACUUUGUGAUUCAUGACUGGGGUGAAGUCGUAACAAGGUAACCGUAGGGGAACCUGCGGUUGGAUCACCUCCUUACCUUAAAGAA